GUGAGGAAUAUUGGACAAUGGGCGCAAGCCUGAUCCAGCCAUGCCGCGUGCAGGAAGACGCAUCUAUGGUGUGUAAACUGCUUUUGUACGGGAAGAAACACUCCCUCGUGAGGGAGCUUGACGAUACCGUAAGAAUAAGGAUCGGCUAACUCCGUGCCAGCAGCCGCGGUAAUACGGAGGAUCCAAGCGUUAUCCGGAAUCAUUGGGUUUAAAGGGUCCGUAGGCGGUUUAAUAAGUCAGUGGUGAAAGCCCAUCGCUCAACGAUGGAACGGCCAUUGAUACUGUUAGACUUGAAUUACAAGGAAGUAACUAGAAUAUGUAGUGUAGCGGUGAAAUGCUUAGAUAUUACAUGGAAUACCAAUUGCGAAGGCAGGUUACUACUUGUGGAUUGACGCUGAUGGACGAAAGCGUGGGGAGCGAACAGGAUUAGAUACCCCUGUAGUCC
rnacentral:rRNA from 1 species